UACGAAGGGGGCUAGCGUUGCUCGGAAUCACUGGGCGUAAAGCGCACGUAGGCGGCUUUUUAAGUCAGGGGUGAAAUCCUGGAGCUCAACUCCAGAACUGCCUUUGAUACUGAGAAGCUUGAGUCGGGGAGAGGUGAGUGGAACUGCGAGUGUAGAGGUGAAAUUCGUAGAUAUUCGCAAGAACACCAGUGGCGAAGGCGGCUCACUGGCCCGGUACUGACGCUGAGGUGCGAAAGCGUGGGGAGCAAACAGG
rnacentral:rRNA from 1 species